AGUGAACGCUGGCGGUAGGCCUAACACAUGCAAGUCGAACGGCAGCACAGUAAGAGCUUGCUCUUACGGGUGGCGAGUGGCGGACGGGUUAGGAAUACAUCGGAAUCUACUUUUUCGUGGGGGAUAACGUAGGGAAACUUACGCUAAUACCGCAUACGACCUACGGGUGAAAGCAGGGGAUCUUCGGACCUUGCGCGAUUGAAUGAGCCGAUGUCGGAUUAGCUAGUUGGCGGGGUAAAGGCCCACCAAGGCGACGAUCCGUAGCUGGUCUGAGAGGAUGAUCAGCCACACUGGAACUGAGACACGGUCCAGACUCCUACGGGAGGCAGCAGUGGGGAAUAUUGGACAAUGGGCGCAAGCCUGAUCCAGCCAUACCGCGUGGGUGAAGAAGGCCUUCGGGUUGUAAAGCCCUUUUGUUGGGAAAGAAAAGCAGCAGGUUAAUACCCCGCUGUUCUGACGGUACCCAAAGAAUAAGCACCGGCUAACUUCGU
rnacentral:rRNA from 1 species